AAAAGUACCGGUUUUGUACGGAUCACUAGUUGACUGUGCUGCUGUAGCUGUGGCCAACUGGAUUUUGAUGGAUGAUUUUGUGAGGAAAAUGCUGCUGGAAUGGGGGAUGGAGGAGUUAAUACACACUUUCAAGGGAUGUCAGAGCUAUCCUGAUGGACUCUUUUAACGGAGAGAACUUCGUGAAGGAAAUGGAUAAUGGAAUGCUUUCUGUACAAUCUCGCAUAAAGGUUGUGCGAAUCCUGGUGUCUUGGUUAAUACAAGAAUUUACAAGCAAGCCACCUACAGAUGUCAAGGUCGCUCUAGCCAAGGCAGUGGUGUCGCAAUUUCCCAAGCUAAAGGACCUUGAAGGAGUAGGUCAUGAAGCAUGGUAUUCUCCAGCUAGGGAGAAACGGGAGGCAUCUGGAUAUUUGGAAUACCGACUUGUAAAUGUACGAAAGAGAGCACAAAAAAGUGCACCAAUUACAUCGGAGCCAAAGAAGACACCCAAAGCCUCCAUGGGAGACUUAACAGAUUCAGCAGGACUUCAGGAUUCUUUAUCCAGAGGUUGCAGAUAAGCUGUUCUUAGAGUGGCCCAAAAUAGCUCCCCUGGUACUGAAGUAUGCAGACCUCCAUAACCCGACAUGGCGGGAAUCUUUGACUGUUCCACAUCUCGCAUCUUCUGACUUGACAUGUCCUGCAGCAGAAGUGGAGACCAUGGCACUUCUUGCGCUUCCUCAAAUCUCGCCUCCAGGAAUGAAGAAGGGGGGAAGCGUAGUAUGAGAUGCAGCAGGGCAGAAUCAUCCAAAGCCUUCAUCAACAUCGGCCCAGUGGGGACAAACCUUCCAGAGUACCUAGAGAACUGCCAGCAAAAGCAACCUUUUGUGCUCGCCCUUGGGGACAUCCUCAAGCCAGAGCAAGUGUUCGUUAUUU